UGAAAAAAAUGAAAAAUGAAAAGACGCGGACGAGUCUCACUCUCAUUCGCGCUCCGUUUUGAGUUUUCGCGGCAAAUGCGAUCCCGCGGAGAAAGUUGCAGUCGCUGGAUACGAGUCUCUCUGGUGAUCGUGUGAGAGUCUGCGAGAGAGUGAAAGGGAACUUUAUCGCUUGAAUAAUUUGAUCAUUUUAGAUUUUGUAGAAGGACGAGUAAGCAGAAAGUGAGAACUCAAUCUGAGUCCAUCGCUGUGAAUUUUCUUUGUUCCGAUGGUGAGGUCUUCAUUUGAAUCGGUCGCCGAUGAGCAAGGGAGGAGAGUUCCAAAGUCUAAAAAAAGUGCUGGUGGAUUUCCUACUUCACUGAAUGUUGUUGCAGUUACCAGAAAUUUGAACGCGCCUUGGAAGCAUAAUAUUUGGCUCCAAGAACAGCAGCAUGAAGGAAUUUCUUUCCAGACAGCUAUUUGGUUUGCUUUCCAUCUAUCUGUUUGCCCGCUCAACAGUAUUCAUAUGUGAAGAUCAUUGGUCCUGGUUCUCCUUGUUUCUAUUCAACUUUAGCAGCCAAAAAAUGCAUGUUAUCUUUCAGGCAGUUAGUUUUGGUCAGAUGAAUAUUAAUCUGUAUGGGAGGACUACUGAUGAUUUAGAGAGAACACUUAAUCCCGCAUUCCCGCUCAGUUGUAGGCAGAGCCGCAGAAGAAGAAAUCCAGGAGUUAAAGAGUUGUAUGAUUUUGGGUUCUUUGUCAAACUCAAAUGAAGAGGGGGCAGUUUAGGAACAAAUUGAACGAUCAUGGACAUGGAUCAACUGCCAAGGGGUGGCCCUAUUGGAUAAGGUCAACGGUCUCUAAUUAACACCUACCUAGAAAUAUUCGAGGCGUGGGUGCGGACUUUUUGAAAAAGAGAUCAUGGAUGAUGGAUUUGUACAAGCGCAAGGUCAAAGCUACAAAGGCGAUCUGCUGUUGCUGCAGCGGAGCUCGAUGGCGUACUUUAUGAAACGGGCGGGUAUGAUUUGCAGGGAUUAUUUUGGAGUAAGGUACGUACCAUGACCUCUGUUUCAUUUCUUUUCUAAUUCACAUGACUAUCUCAGUCGCUGCCAAUCGCAUGAAAAAAUUGAGUUGGCUUGAAAGAUGAUAACAUUCAUGGAACCAAAUCCUCUAGUAUGAAUGGAAAACGAGGAUGUCAUUCGAGAAACUGUAAGCCAUUUCUUCCAUUAUAUUUUUGUGGUAUCUUCUCGGCUUCUGUUCAAAUUUUUUUUUUCUUUGUCAUGGAUGAGCGUCUGGGUCAUAAUAAUAUAUUAGAAAUUAUCAGCUUCUAGGUUCAAUU